rnacentral:rRNA from 1 species
AGCUGUGAUGGGGAGAAGACAUUGUGUCUUCGAGUCGUUGAUUUCACACUGCCGAGAAAAGCCUCUAGAUAGAAAAUAGGUGCCCGUACCGCAAACCGACACAGGUAGUCAAGAUGAGAAUUCUAAGGUGAGCGAGCGAACUCUCGUUAAGGAACUCGGCAAAAUGACCCCGUAACUUCGGGAGAAGGGGUGCUCUUUAGGGUUAACGCCCAGAAGAGCCGCAGUGAAUAGGCCCAAGCGACUGUUUAUCAAAAACACAGGUCUCUGCUAAACCGUAAGGUGAUGUAUAGGGGCUGACGCCUGCCCGGUGCUGGAAGGUUAAGAGGAGUGGUUAGCUUCUGCGAAGCUACGAAUCGAAGCCCCAGUAAACGGCGGCCGUAACUAUA